GACGAACGCUGGCGGCGUGCUUAACACAUGCAAGUCGAACGGAAAGGCCCUGCUCUUGUGGGGUGCUCGAGUGGCGAACGGGUGAGUAACACGCGAGUAUCCUGCCCUUGACUUUGGGAUAACUUCAGGAAACUGGGGCUAAUACCGGAUAGGAGCUCCUGCUGCAUGGUGGGGGUUGGAAAGUUUCGGCGGUGGUGGAUGGACUGGCGGCUUAUCAGCUGGUUGGUGGGGUAGUGGCUUACGAAGGCUUUGACGGGUAGCCGGCCUGAGAGGGUGACCGGGCACAAUGGGACUGAGAGACGGCCCAGACUGGUACGGGAGGCAGCGGUGGGAAGUAUUGCACAAUAGGGGGAAGCCUGAUGCAGCAGCGCCGCGUGCGGGAUGACGGGCUUCGGGUUGAAAACAGCUUUGGCAUGUGACGAAGCGGGAGUGACGGUAAUGGAUAAAGAAGCACCGGCUAACUACGUG
rnacentral:rRNA from 1 species